rnacentral:rRNA from 1 species
ACCAUCCCUUGACAUCCAGUGAAUUUUCCAGAGAUGGAUUAGUGCCUUCGGGAACACUGAGACAGGUGCUGCAUGGCUGUCGUCAGCUCGUGUUGUGAGAUGUUGGGUUAAGUCCCGCAACGAGCGCAACCCUUAUCCUUAGUUGCCAGCGCGUAAAGGCGGGAACUCUGGGGAGACUGCCGGUGAUAAACCGGAGGAGGGUGGGGACGACGUCAAGUCAUCAUGGCCCUUACGGGAUGGGCUACACACGUGCUACAAUGGCGCAUACAAAGGGCAGCAAGCCAGCGAUGGUUAGCGAAUCUCAUAAAGUGCGUCGUAGUCCGGAUUGGAGUCUGCAACUCGACUCCAUGAAGUCGGAAUCGCUAGUAAUCGUGGAUCAGAAUGCCACGGUGAAUACGUUCCCGGGCCUUGUACACACCGCCCGUCACACCAUGGGAGUGGGCUGCACCAGAAGUGGUUAGUUUAACCUUCGGGAGAACGAUCACCACGGUGUGGUUCAUGACU